CAGUCGAACGAUGAACCUCCUUCGGGAGGGGAUUAGUGGCGAACGGGUGAGUAACACGUGGGCAAUCUGCCCUUCACUCUGGGACAAGCCCUGGAAACGGGGUCUAAUACCGGAUACGACACGGGGUCGCAUGACCUCCGUGUGGAAAGCUCCGGCGGUGAAGGAUGAGCCCGCGGCCUAUCAGCUUGUUGGUGGGGUGAUGGCCUACCAAGGCGACGACGGGUAGCCGGCCUGAGAGGGCGACCGGCCACACUGGGACUGAGACACGGCCCAGACUCCUACGGGAGGCAGCAGUGGGGAAUAUUGCACAAUGGGCGAAAGCCUGAUGCAGCGACGCCGCGUGAGGGAUGACGGCCUUCGGGUUGUAAACCUCUUUCAGCAGGGAAGAAGCGAAAGUGACGGUACCUGCAGAAGAAGCGCCGGCUAACUACGUGCCAGCAGCCGCGGUAAUACGUAGGGCGCAAGCGUUGUCCGGAAUUAUUGGGCGUAAAGAGCUCGUAGGCGGCUUGUCGCGUCGGAUGUGAAAGCCCGGGGCUUAACCCCGGGUCUGCAUUCGAUACGGGCAGGCUAGAGUUCGG
rnacentral:rRNA from 1 species